rnacentral:misc_RNA from 1 species
GAAAUGCGAUAGUUAAUGUGAAUUGCAGAAUUCAGUGAAUCAUCGAGUCUUUGAACGCACAUUGCGCCCAUAGGUAUUCCUUUGGGCAUGUCUGUUUGAGCGUCAUUACAACCCUCAGCUAACCGCUGGUUUUGAACCUGAACGGGUGACACCGCGCCGGUUUUAAAGUUGUAAGCUCUGCUGGCCGCUCUGCCCAACCAGAACAUAGUAAGCACUACUUGUCCGGGUGAUGCUGAACGGUACGGCCUGAACAAAACCUACCCACUCUCAAGGUUUGACCUCAGAUCAGACAAGGAUACCCGCUGAACUUAAGC